rnacentral:lncRNA from 1 species
UUAUUUUUGCUUUUGUUGCCUGUGAUUUUGGUCUCAAAUCCAAAAAUCAUUGCCAAGACUGAUGUCAAGGAGCUUAGGGCAUAUGUUUUCUUCUAGCAGUUUUAUGGUUUCAGGUCUUACAUUUAAGUCUUUAACCCAUUUUGAGUCGAUUUUUGUGUAGGAUGUAAGAUAGUGGUCCAGUUUCAUUCUUUUGCACGUGAUUAUUUUUUAGCUUUAAAAAAAGAAGGAAACCCUGCCAUUUGCUACAACAUGGAUGGACCUGGAGGACAUUAUGCUAACUGAAAUAAGCCAAACACAAAACCUGUAUAAACUCGCUUGUAUGUGGAAUCUAAAAUAAUCAAACCUAAAGAAGCAGAGAGUAGAAUGGUGAUUGCCAGGAGUUGGAGACAAAGAGAAAUCAGGAGGUGACGGUUCAAUGGUAUAGUUUCAGUCAUGCAAGAUAAGUUCUAGAGAUCCACUAUGGAGCACAGUGCCUAUAGCUGGUGACACUGUAUUGCAUACUUAAAAUUUGCUGAGGGUAGAUAUUAUGUUAAGUCUUCUUAUAAUAAUAAAAGGGGCAGAAGGAAACCAUGGUAGGUAAUGGAUGCCUAUGGUCAUGUUGGUGGCGAUGGUUUCACGGGUAUAUACUUAUCACUACUCACUGACUUGGAUACAUUAAAUAUGUGCAACUUUUUACAUGUCAAUCACACCUUAAUAAAGUCGUUUAAAAAAAUCUCAAUGUGAAUUUCAGUCCUUAGAAAAGCCCUUCAAGUACCUUAAUUGGAAUUAAAUUAUGUUUUCUCAUAGGUUCCUGUACUUCUUGGCACUUAUAAUUUGCACCUGUAUCUUUAUUUGUGCCAUCAUGUGAUUACCAUCUGCCUCUCCUACAAGACUGUCUCUGGGCUGAAAACAUGAUUAACAGGCUCCAUGGUGUGAAAAGGCAAUGAAAUUCUUUCAGCAAGAGGAAGGCUUCGCCCCGAUUUUCGAGGAUCCGUCUGAGGAGCUACUCUUUGGGUCUCAUCUUAGAUGCCUCUUCCUGAGAAACGCCAAUCCCAACUGUCCCUCCUCUCGGCUCCAUCAGAGCACCUUGCUAGUUCCUGCAUGUCACCUGCACGGUUCCCAUGGGAACCUGGAGAGGGACUCUCCCUACGUUCCCACCCCUGUGGGCUUCCGCAAAGGAAAAUGGACCACAAGGGAGUCUUCAAGAGCUGCUUCAAAAUCCGCUGUUCUUCAGGCGGUUGAGGAAAACAAAGACUUGCCCAGACUUCCUCAGUGCCAGACACUGUGCCCGUGGAAAAGGAGGUGACUGACACCUAGUGCUUACCGGGGAGGAGAGGGCGCCACUAAAUGAAUCAUUUCAAUGCAGUGCGAUAAGUGAUGCGAUGUGCUUUGCGCAAGGUGUUACGAGAUGAGAGAGAGAGGUCAAGAAAGCUUCUGGAGAGACGGUGCUUAGGUUAUGUUUGAAAAUUGUCUCGCAGUUAGCCCACAAAGGGAAAGGGAAGAAUAGGAAGAAGUCUCUCAUCCAUCGUCAAUUGUUUUCCUAUUUCAAUUCAAAAGCAUUAAGAAGAGUUGAAACAUACAAGGAAAAAAAUGAGAGAGGAAUUAAACCUCGGAAAAGUUAAAAAAUACGGUCUGUCCAUUGCUUAUGUCCACGCGCGGAGGACGGGCGUGGGUCUAGGUAAAGGAAAUUGUGAACUAUGUUAAGAAAAGGAAAUUCCUAAAUAUUUGUCGUCUUGGGUGUUCCCAGAUAAAAGGGCUCACGGAGCCACCUUUGGGAUACAUUUAAUACUCUCAAGAUUAUUACCUUUUAUACAAGAUUAUACAUUUAUAAUCUCAAGAGACUACCUCAGCGUACGCUUGGGAGCGGGAGCCAAGUGUCAACCUGAAAGAGCGUGCAUCUGACCACGUGACGUGGCACUCUCCGCAACCAAUAGGAGCGCUGAUAAAGCCGCGGCCCUCCUGCUUGGUCUAGGACUGAAUUUCAUCACAACACAUCCAGCGAUCUACAGCCAUUUAAAAAUAUAACAAAUCCUUUGUAAAUGUCUCAACGUUGUGGAGAUCACAAUGCUGUCUUAAAGAUUCU